ensembl:lncRNA
CUUUUCCAACUGCUGCUCAUGUUGUACCAAAAGUUGUAUCAUGUUGUAACAUUUCCACAGUAAAGCACUAUCUACCCUGUUCCACUGUUUUUACAUGAGCUCACAGACUGUUCAACGUCACUGUGAUUGACAGGGGAGAUAGAGUGUAUCAUCCCGCCCUCCGUCCCUGAGACCACGGCCAAUUUUGCUCUCUUGGACUCCGGCAACGGAUGACUGUCGCAUCAUCAGGAUUCGAACUCUCUGGAAAACAUAGAACUAUGUGUGAGCACGUGCUAUGGGCAAACAUGGAUCAGGAUCGAGUGGAAGAGAGAGGAAACCUGGGUGAAACGUCUGCGUGCAGAAUAUGUUCAGGCUGAUGGAGCUGGAUGCUGCUGUGAAUCAUCACAAGUAUAUUUAUGUUGACGAGGCGGGCUUUAAUCUGGUAACAUUAUUGGCCAACAGGCAACCAUCCAAGUGCCUGGACAACGUGGGGGAAACAUCUCAAUGUGUGCGGCUAUAUGUGAAGAUGGUGUGGUAGGCCGUAGACCUACGUUCUUGGAUUAUACAACACUGAACACCAGAAAGCUUUUCUAAAUGAACUUGAGUAGGCCUGUCAGUGUGAAGAAAGACAUCAGGUAUGUUAUUGUGUGGGACAAUGUCAGCUUCCAUCAUGCAGAGCUGGUUCGGGAAUGGUUUCAGGCUCAUUCUCGGUUCAUGACCUUAUAUCUCCCACGAUACUCUCCUUUCCUCAACCCAACAGAGGAAUUCUUCUCUACUUGGAGGUGGAAGGUGUAUGAUCGCCAUCCCUAUGAGCAUGUCGUCCUCCUUCAAGCCAUGGAUGAGGCUUGCAAUGACAUAACUGCAGAGAAAUGUCAAGCGUGGACUCGUCAUGCCAGAAGGUUUUUCCCAUGGUGCAUGAACAACGAGGAUCUUCAGUGUGUUGAUGAAAAUUUUUGACCAAAUGUUGAAGACAGGCUUGAUGUUAAUUAAUCUGAGAUUAUCUCCAUUUACAGUAAAUUGUUUAUGUUUUUUUGUUUCACAAUGCAACCAGAGUAUUGGUUAAAAAAAAAAAAAUACUGUAAAAUAAAAUAUUUUUCCUGCAUAAUUGACAUUUGAUGUGUAUUUUGAUCAUAUUUUACUUGUAUAAAUAAAAUAUCAAUUUUAUUAUGGCUUUUGUCAGUUUGCUUGGAUGAUGUAAGUGUAAUAUCUAUUGUGAUGACUGUGUACAGUAAAGUAACAGUCAUUCAGAACCAAGGGUGAUUUAAAAUGUGCAUCUUGCAUUGUUUUCUGGUGAAUUAACUGACUGUUAAAAGUGCUAAAUUAAAAUAAGAUCAUACGGUUGCGUUUUGGUGAUUACAAUAAAUGUUCUCAUUACAUGUUACAAUAAUCUUGUGUUUUGAAACAAUGAUUUAAUGGAAAGAAAAUAUGUAACUGAAAUCAGAUCAGGUUUGAAUCAGUCAUUAUUGCAUUAGAACGACUAACUGUGAAACAAGUGUGAUCAAUUUGGAGUCUUGUACUAAGAGUUUUGAAAAAUUACCCCUUACUUGUGAAAAUAGUUCGAAAG